GUUCCUCAAAUUGAAGUCACUUUUGAUAUUGAUGCCAAUGGCAUUCUCAACGUCUCUGCUGUGGAUAAGAGUACAGGAAAAGAGAACAAAAUCACUAUCACUAAUAACAAGGGUCAUUUGAGCAAGGAAGACAUUGAGUGUAUGGUCCAGGAGACUGAAAAGUACAAAGCUGAAGAUGAGAAGCAGAGGGACAAAGUAUCAUCCAAGAAUUCACUUGAAUCCUAUGCCUUUAACAUGAAGGCAACUGUUGAAGAUGAGAAACUUCAAGGCAAGAUCAAUGAUGAGGACAAACAGAAGAUUCUUGACAAGUGUAAUGAAAUUGUCAGUUGGCUUGAUAAGAAUCAGACUGCAGAGAAGGAGAAAUUUGAACACCAGCAGAAAGAGCUGGAGAAAGUCUGCAAUUCCAUCAUUACCAAACUGUACCAGAGUGCAGGAGGCAUGCAGGAGGCAUGCCAGGAGGAAUGCCUGGGGGAUUCCCUGGUGGUGGAGCUCCUCCCUCUUGUGGUGCUUCCUCAGGCCCCACCAUCGAAGAGGUUGAUUAA